AGGCGGGGGCGGCCCUGGUCGGCGCUCGACCCUUGGGUGCGCGGGGCAGGCUGAGCUCGGACCCGCACCCAACGUUUGGGGGCCGGAGCAAUACGUGGACGCCACGUCGGCCUUGUCACUGACCCCACCGGAACCCAGCCUGAGAGAAGCUCGAGUUGUGGGUGCCACAUCUCGGGGCUGCGGGGUGACCGGGUAGAGAGGUAAAGACUGGCUGCUUGUAGCCUUCGUGCUAAAAAUAUCACGCUCUCUUUCGACUGCCUGCCGAGAUUUGUCCCUCACCUUCAUCCUGACAAGAUGGCUGAGAGGAUUCUUGCGGGGGGAGGGGGAACUGAAGCGAUAGAGUCACCAAAGUUUGGCAACAUAUAAAGCCAUCCAUGAGAAAGACUACAUUUCCCUACCACUCUUGCAGUAAUCUGAAGCUGAACCCACAAUAUCUCCAAGGAGUGGAUGUACAGACCUUAAUCCUGGCCAAUGGGAUGUGAGCAAAAGUGAUAUGUGCUUCUUCCAGGUCAUACCUUAAGGUAAAGAAGUAUGUUUAGCAUUUGACAAAAUUCAACAUCCUUUCAUGAUAAAAACUCAACAAAUUAAGUAUGGAAGGAUUAUUCCUCACCAUAAUAAAGGCCAUAUAUGACAAGCCCAUAGCUAACAUCAUACUCAAUGGUGUAAGGUUAAAAGCCUCUCCUCUGAGAUCAGGAACAAGACAAGGAUGCCCACCAUCACCAUUUCUAUUCAACAUAGUACUGCAAAUCUUAGUCAUAGCAAUUAGGCAAAAAAAAUAAAUAAAAGGCAUCCAAAUCAGAGAGAAAGAAGUAUAACUAUCUCUGUUUGCAGAUGACAUGAUAUAGAAAACCCUGAAGACCACCAAAAAAACUGCUAAAACUGAUAAAUAAAUUCAGUAAAGUUGCAGGAUACAAGAUCAACAUACAGAA